GUCAUAUGCUUGUCUCAAAGAUUAAGCCAUGCAUGUCUCAGUACAAGCCAAAUUAAGGUGAAACCGCGAAAGGCUCAUUAAAUCAGUUAUGGUUCCUUAGAUCGUACCCACAAUUACUUGGAUAACUGUGGUAAUUCUAGAGCUAAUACAUGCAAACAGAGCUCCGACCGGAGACGGGAGGAGUGCUUUUAUUAGAUCAAAACCAAUCGGUGGCGGGUUCGCGCUCGUCAUCGUACAACUUGGUGACUCUGAAUAACUUUACGCUGAUCGCACGGUCAUCGCACCGGCGACGCAUCUUUCAAAUGUCUGCCUUAUCAACUGUCGAUGGUAGGUUCUGCGCCUACCAUGGUCGUAACGGGUAACGGGGAAUCAGGGUUCGAUUCCGGAGAGGGAGCCUGAGAAACGGCUACCACAUCCAAGGAAGGCAGCAGGCGCGCAAAUUACCCACUCCCGGCACGGGGAGGUAGUGACGAAAAAUAACGAUACGGGACUCAUCCGAGGCCCCGUAAUCGGAAUGAGUACACUCUAAACCCUUUAACGAGGAUCAAUUGGAGGGCAAGUCUGGUGCCAGCAGCCGCGGUAAUUCCAGCUCCAAUAGCGUAUAUUAAAGUUGUUGCGGUUAAAAAGCUCGUAGUCGAAUUUGUGUCUCGCGCCGCCGGUUCAUCGUCCGCGGUGUUAACUGGCGAGUCGCGAGACGUCCUGCCGGUGGGCUUAGCUCCUCGCGAGAGCGGGGGCGCGCGGCCCAACUCAAUCCUGCCGCGGUGCUCUUCAUUGAGUGUCGAGGUGGGCCGGCACGUUUACUUUGAACAAAUUAGAGUGCUUAAAGCAGGCUAAAACUUCGCCUGAAUACUGUGUGCAUGGAAUAAUGGAAUAGGACCUCGGUUCUAUUUUGUUGGUUUUCGGAACCCCGAGGUAAUGAUUAAUAGRAACGGAUGGGGGCAUUCGUAUUGCGACGUUAGAGGUGAAAUUCUUGGAUCGUCGC
rnacentral:rRNA from 1 species